rnacentral:rRNA from 1 species
UACGAGGGGGGCAAGCGUUGUUCGGAAUUACUGGGCGUAAAGGGCGCGUAGGCGGUCAGCACAAGUCAGUUGUGAAAUCUCCGGGCUUAACUCGGAAAGGUCAACUGAUACUGUGCGACUAGAGUGCGGAAGGGGCAACUGGAAUUCUCGGUGUAGCGGUGAAAUGCGUAGAUAUCGAGAGGAACACCUGCGGCGAAGGCGGGUUGCUGGGCUGACACUGACGCUGAUGCGCGAAAGCCAGGGGAGCGAACGGG